rnacentral:rRNA from 1 species
GACGAACGCUGGCGGCGUGCCUAAUACAUGCAAGUCGAGCGGACAGAAGGGAGCUUGCUCCCGGAAGUUAGCGGCGGACGGGUGAGUAACACGUGGGCAACCUACCCUGUAGAUCGGGAUAACAUCGAGAAAUCGGUGCUAAUACCGGAUAAUCAUUUGAAGUGCAUGCUUCGAAUGUAAAAGAUGGCUCCGGCUAUCACUACGGGAUGGGCCCGCGGCGCAUUAGCUAGUUGGUAAGGUAAUGGCUUACCAAGGCAACGAUGCGUAGCCGACCUGGGAGGGUGAGCGGCCAAACGGGGACUGAGACACGGCCCAGACUCCUACGGGAGGCAGCAGUAGGGAAUCUUCCGCAAUGGACGAAAGUCUGACGGAGCAACGCCGCGUGAGUGAUGAAGGUUUUCGGAUCGUAAAGCUCUGUUGUUAGGGAAGAACAAGUGCCGUUUGAAUAAGGCGGCACCUUGACGGUACCUAACCAGAAAGCCACGGCUAACUACGUGCCAGCCGCCGCCGUAAGAC